rnacentral:rRNA from 1 species
AUUGAACGCUGGCGGCAUGCCUUACACAUGCAAGUCGAACGGCGGCGGACCUUCGGGUGCCGGCGAGUGGCGAACGGGUGAGUAAUAUAUCGGAACGUACCUUUCAGUGGGGGAUAACGUAGCGAAAGUUACGCUAAUACCGCAUAUUCUGUGAGCAGGAAAGCAGGGGAUCGCAAGACCUUGCGCUGAUUGAGCGGCCGAUAUCAGAUUAGCUAGUUGGUGAGGUAAAGGCUCACCAAGGCGACGAUCUGUAGCGGGUCUGAGAGGAUGAUCCGCCACACUGGAACUGAGACACGGUCCAGACUCCUACGGGAGGCAGCAGUGGGGAAUUUUGGACAAUGGGCGCAAGCCUGAUCCAGCCAUGCCGCGUGAGUGAAGAAGGCCUCGGUUGUAAGACUCUUACGGCCGGGAAGAAUACGACACAGGUUAAUACCUCGUGUGGAGUGACGGUACCGGAAUAAGAAG